rnacentral:rRNA from 1 species
GUUUGAUCCUGGCUCAGGACGAACGCUGGCGGCGUGCCUAACACAUGCAAGUCGAGCGGAGAAUGCAAGAUGUUUACAUCGAGUAUUCUUAGCGGCGGACGGGUGAGUAACACGUGGGUAACCUGCCUCAAAGUGGGGGAUAGCCUUUCGAAAGGAAGAUUAAUACCGCAUAAGCUUGUAGCAUCGCAUGGUGCAGCAAGAAAAGGAGCAAUCCGCUUUGAGAUGGACCCGCGGCGCAUUAGCUAGUUGGUGAGGUAACGGCUCACCAAGGCCACGAUGCGUAGCCGACCUGAGAGGGUGAUCGGCCACAUUGGAACUGAGACACGGCCCAGACUCCUACGGGAGGCAGCAGUGGGGAAUAUUGCGCAAUGGAGGAAACUCUGACGCAGCGGCGCCGCGUGAGCGAAGAAGGCCUUCGGGUCGUAAAGCUCUGUUCUUGGGGACGAAUAAAAUGACGGUACCCAAGUAGAAAGCCCCGGCUAACUACGUGCCAGCAGCCGCGGUAACACGUAGGGGGCAAGCGUUGUCCGGAAUUACUGGGCGUAAAGGGCGUGUAGGCGGCCAUGUAUGUCAGGUGUGAAAUGCCACGGCUUAACCGGGGCACUGCACAUGAAACUGGAUGGCUUGAGUGCAGGAGAGGGAAGUGGAAUUCCUAGUGUAGCGGUGAAAUGCGUAGAUAUUAGGAGGAACACCAGUGGCGAAGGCGACUUCCUGGACUGUAACUGACGCUGAGGCGCGAAAGCGUGGGUAGCAAACAGGAUUAGAUACCCUGGUAGUCCACGCUGUAAACGAUGGGUACUAGGUGUGGGUAGUUCACUCUAUCCGUGCCGCAGCAAACGCAAUAAGUACCCCGCCUGGGGAGUACGGCCGCAAGGUUGAAACUCAAAGGAAUUGACGGGGGCCCGCACAAGCAGCGGAGCAUGUGGUUUAAUUCGAAGCAACGCGAAGAACCUUACCAGGGCUUGACAUGGCCGUGACAUGUUUAGAGAUAAACAGUUCUUUCGGGACAUGGUCACAGGUGGUGCAUGGUUGUCGUCAGCUCGUGUCGUGAGAUGUUGGGUUAAGUCCCGCAACGAGCGCAACCCUUAUCUUUAGUAGCCAGCACGUUGUGGUGGGAACUCUAGAGAGACUGCCGGGGAUAACUCGGAGGAAGGUGGGGAUGACGUCAAAUCAUCAUGCCCCUUAUGAUUUGGGCUACACACGUGCUACAAUGGCGGAUACAAAGAGAAGCGACAGGGUGACCUUAAGCAAACCUCAUAAAGUCCGUCCCAGUUCGGAUUGUAGUCUGCAACUCGACUACAUGAAGUUGGAAUCGCUAGUAAUCGCAGAUCAGAAUGCUGCGGUGAAUACGUUCCCGGGC